rnacentral:rRNA from 1 species
GACGAACGCUGGCGGCGUGCUUAACACAUGCAAGUCGAACGCUAACGCUUGGUACUUGUUCCACUUGUGUGAGCAGGGUACGGAUGAGUUACGUGUGGGUCUUCUGCCUUUGAGUGGGGGAUAACAUUCGGAAACGAAUGCUAAUACCGCCUAAUAACUUUAACCAUGGGAUUUAAGUUUUCGUGCGGCUAUUGCUUCACUCACAGCUGAUCCCGCGUUGUGUUAGCUAGUUGGGGGGGUAAAGGCUCACCAAGGCGAUGAUACAUAGCCGACCGUAGAGGGUGGGCGGCCACAUUGGGACGGAGACACCGCCCAAAAUCCCGAGGGAGGGAGCAGUAGGGAAACUUUGGCAAUGGGCGGAAGUCUGACUAAGCAACGCCGCGGGAGAGGAAAAAGGCUUCCGAUCGGAAAACUGUGUUGGUAGGGAACAACGUGGGUCAGGAUGGAAAUCGCAGCUAGUGACGGUAACUACACAAAAAGCAACGGCUAACUACGUG